CAUCGCCGAAGGCGAUUCUUAAAUGCGACGACCGACUUGCCGCCGAAGCGAAGCGAGGGGGCGUUACAUUA
rnacentral:sRNA from 1 species